UUGGGCUGGUGUAAAGGUGUGGCUGAAUCAGGUGUGAGAUUAUUGGGCUGGUGUAAAGGUGUGGCUGAAUCAGGUGUGAGAGUGUUGGGCUGGAGUAAAGGUGUGGCUGAAUCAGGUAUGAGAGUGUUGGGCUGGUGUAAAGGUGUGGCUGAAUCAGGUGUGAGAUUAUUGGGCUGGUGUAAAGGUGUGGCUGAAUCAGGUGUGAGAGUGUUGGGCUGGAGUAAAGGUGUGGCUGAAUCAGGUGUGAGAGUGUUGGGCUGGAGUAAAGGUGUGGCUGAAUCAGGUAUGAGAGUGUUGGGCUGGUGUAAAGGUGUGGCUGAAUCAGGUGUGAGAGUGUUGGGCUGGUGUGAAGGUGUGGCUGAAUCAGGUGUGAGAGUGUUGGGCUGGUGUAAAGGUGUGGCUGAAUCAGGUGUGAGAGUGUUGGGCUGGUGUAAAGGUGUGGCUGAAUCAGGUGUGAGA
ensembl:lncRNA